rnacentral:rRNA from 1 species
CCAUGCCGCGGUGAGUGAUGAAGGCCUUCGGGUUGUAAAGCUCUUUCGGACGGAACGAAACGGCCGGCGUGAAUAACGCCGGUUACUGACGGUACCGUAAGAAGAAGCACCGGCUAACUACGUGCCAACC